AUGGGGUGCCGACGUCAAGGCCAGAAAACUGCUCCUGAACGCCCCAAUGCUGCCCCGCUCAUGGAGAUGCGAUCACAGUCCGACCCAUCGGAACUAUUUCUUGAGAGCUUUGCUUCGGACAUCGCCGACAUUGUGCAGGUGUACUCAUCUGUUGAUGAGGACGAGUCCAAGUACCUCCAGAUUAUUCCCCUGGAUGUUGAUGCUUUCGGUUUCAAGAAUUCUAGGAAAGAGGGCAAGGAAUCAGGGGAUUUGAAGAUCUCAGGGGAUUGCUUGUUAGAUUCUUACCAUAAUGUCUUAAAGAGGCCCUCUAAGCUAAAGGAACCUGGGAAGGUUGGGAAAGUUGCUAGUAGGAGGAAGCAACGGAGGAUAGGGCUAGGGCUGGAACCAUGGAUGGAUUCGCUGGAUGAUGACCAGACCAAGCGCAUGCCGCUUGAGGAGGUAGCAAACAUUGACAUUGGCUAUGAUGCACCUCCUCCGUCGUCUACUACUGGAUUGGAGCUGCAGAAGCGGAGGAGAGCACGAAUUGAAGUUGCUAAGUGUCGAAUCGCUUCAAUUAGGAAGGCUCCUACCGCAGGCACUACAAAUGCAAUUGAUUCACCGACUGUUCGUGGAAAUGAGGAUGCUUGUCCACCACAAAAAAAUAGUAGGAAGAAGUUGGGUGAAAGAGACUAG
rnacentral:rRNA from 1 species